UAUAUUUAUGUAUCAUAUCAUAUAUUAUUAUAUAGGUAGUGAACAAUCUGUUCGGGUCAGGUUAAGAUGCAGUGACUGUUCCUCAACCCUUGCAGUUUCGCAGGGUCGUUGUCUGGGGAGCAUCUGGGAUAGACUCCAGGAAACAGACAUUUACAUUUACUUUUAGCAGUAAAAUUGAUCAUUGCUUAUGAGAGAAAUACAUAGAGUAGAUGGGUUCGUGUGUUUGCUUAAGCUGAGUUCACAGAGUCUGUGUUCACAGAAUCUGUUGUUUAACAAUAGUUAUCUGAGUUAUUCAAAAUGUCACGCCGACCUGGGAAAGGAACGGAGAGGUUGAAGCUGGGCCAGAGGAAUCUGGGAGCUGGACAGAUAACACGGCCCAGCGCCAGGACCUUCCAAGUAGCCUUAUUUGGACAUGUGGAAAGACUCUAGGUGGUGGUUAUAAGGAGGGCCUUCACAGGCUGGGGUUUUUCAGAGCGCUUCGCAGAGGGUCCGCUGGUAGCACACGGCUGACCUUUUCCGACCUCUCAGUUCUCUCUGCAGAGGAACAAGCAGGUGAAUUCGGUCUCUGCCUCUCUUGUUAUUACUCUUUUGUAAUCAUUAUAUGAUUGUUUUAAUUUGUCAUGUAUAAUAAAUUUGUAUGCUAUUGAUUUAAACUUCAAAGUUGAGUUCUUGUGAAAUCUCUGUCGUGGAAAUACACGACAGAAAAUGGCGUCACGAUAAAGGCAAGAUAGCCGGAUCUGAAGCCGACAGGUGCCCGGCUGCACCCGGCCCGAGACGACUCGUCACUGGUGGCCACAGAACUGAGCGCGAUGAGGGUAAAUCCGGAUCUGGACUCCUUUCCCACCAUCAGCAGAAGAACCGAAGGAGAAGAAGCGCCUGACCAACAACCAGAACAGGGUGGAAGCUCUGACACCACAGCAGCUGGAGGACACAGACCACAGCAUGGACGCCUCACAGACUCCCACAACGUCUGCAGUCAUCACGUUCUGGGCUCAUCAGAUGAACCAGCUACUACAAGCCCUGCACCAGCAUGAAAGGACUGUGUCUGAAGCUUCUGAAGCCGUGAAAGUGUCAUACACGCGUGUGUGUCUGACACAGACACCUGCUUAUGACAAUCAGCAAAGGAAAACAAGGACAGAGCAACAGCAGAGAAGACGUGCUCUGACACAGACACUGGUUGAAACAACAGGAGAGGCUUCAGACGUGAUCGGCUCAAUAGAGCUGCAUGCGAGGAUCCAGGAAAGGUCUGUCAUCGAGGAACAACUGUCCCAUUGAAAUGCUUCACCCGCUGGCGCUCACAUCAGACUGAUGGUUGGGGAAGGAGGAAGGUGACGGUUCCUUUUCACGUGACGUACAAGACGGUACCGCAAACACACACACACAUUCAUACACGCAAUGAAGAAACACGCUUACAGCUGAUACACGCUCAAAUUCAUGUUCAUGCUUAUCUGCUUGCAAUGAAGAAUCGCUUUUUGCUUAAAAAAAAUCCCACAGAGUGAUUUUAAAAUGAUGACAAACAGCUAAAUGACAACUGCUGCAUGACUUUACAGUCUGAUGGGUUUAAACUAUUUCAAUUUGCAACAAAUUCAGUAAUAAAAUCCUCCAUGUUUCUAAAAAUACUUGUGCACAAUAUAGGUUUGUCUGGCCAGACUGUAGAAAAACAAAACAGACUGUAGAAAAAACAAAAAACAGACUAUAGGAAGACUGAAACCGACUGAAACAGACUAUUAAUGACUAUUAAAGGGAAGACGACUAUUAGAGAGAAGUAAUAAUAAUGACUGUACGUACCAGAUUAUUAAAGAAAAACUUAUUCUUUCACUGUCAUGUGCAACAUCUGACAGCAAGACACCUUAACAUUCAUUUUUGCUUUUAAACUUAUGCCCAAUUAAAUUUUUAGGAAGAGAUCUCAUGUGUAGUUUAGGUAUUUGAUUGAUUUCCACUCCAGACGGAGUGCAGGUUACAUCUACAGACAUUCUAAAUAAUCCCUCUUUUGUUGGUGUUAACUUCAGCUCAGCUGUGCUCUUAUCAUUGGCUGCUGAGAGGGGGCUGUAACUGAGGCCCUCACACAGGCUGCAUCACAGCUUGUUUAUGAUUUCACACACACACACUGACAAACUGGCCUCAACUUCCCUCUUUUGGGAUGAACACAGGUCUGCGCUUGCGAUUUCUUUUACUAACGAACAAAAAGAUUUUUGAUGUUUAUUCUACAGCUCCACACGUCCCUCUGUGAAAACAUGAUGGAGACAGAUGCAGGACGUGGGUCCUUUCGUGAACAGAUGUCAACGGGGUGGAGACUGGUGAACGACUUCUGACCCCAUGUGACGUAUUUACCUACUUUGCAUACUUUAGAAAACUUUUUUUUAUUCUGCCUGUCAUGUGCAGCAAACAGUAAACUGGGUACCUCCACAUUCUAAUGACACACAUUACACGCUUUUGUUUUUAUUUUCAUUUUUCAGAGGACGCUCUGACCCAACACUCAGCCUUACAGGAAGCCCUGCUUCCCUGUGGCUCACACACAGACAUGAUGUAGGUUCGAUCAGAGGAUGUGAACCAGUGGUCAUCACACCUAAAUCUGACCACAGACCAUGUAAACAACAACACCCUCUUAAAGGAAGCCAUAGAUGGCGUUACUGCAGACACCACUAAGCUACUGAAACAUUGGAUGCUACAGGCCACAAAGAGAGCCUGUCUAAAUUACACUUUGUUCAGACAAAGGUCAUUUUUCUGGGUCAUUGUAAUUACAGCUGAUGGCAAAUCCAUCUCACCCAACAGAGUUAAAGCAAUUUGAAACCUGCCUAAACCGUGCACGUAAAAACAGCUGAUGUUUUUUCUAGGUCUUUGUUCUUAUUGUAGGACCUUCAGUCCUAACUUUACUGUCUUUGAGGCCCCACUCAGGGUUCUGAUGCAGACAUCUUCAUCGUCCACUUCUUGUCUCACGUGGACGUCUGAGGCUGAACAGGCGUUCACCGACCUCAAACUUGCUCUUCAGUCGGCUCCUACUUUGGGUCUGCCUGACCCCACGCGACCUUUCACCCAAACAGUGGAUGAGAAAUCAGGUUGUAUGACCUCUGUCCUUUUACAGGAUCACGGAGGACGUCCGCGCCCUGUAGCCUAUUUCUCUGCUAAGCUUGACCCAGUCGCUGCGGGGCUCCCACGAUGCCUCCGAGCAGUGGCUGCGGCAGAGAAAGCCGUGCUGGCAUCACGUGACAUUGUUGGCUAUUCUGGUGUCACCCUGCUGGUUCCUCAUGCCGUGUCUUUGAUCCUUUUGGAACAAAAAACAUCACAUCUUUCUACAGCCCGAUGGCUUAGAUACAACACCAUCUUACUGGAAAUGCCAAACAUUACUGUCAAAAGGUGCAAUGUGCUUAACCCAGCCACUUUGUUUCCAGGCCCUGACGAUGGCGAGCCUCACAACUGUGUUUCGGUCUUGAACCAAGUCUGCACUCCGCGCCCAGAUCUGUCGGAGGUGCCAAUUCCUAACUGUGACCUCGUUCUCUUUGUUGAUGGCUCCGCCUCUAGAGACCCUGCUUCGGGCCGCUGUCAGGUUGGAUAUGCAGUCUGCACCUCUCAUACUGUUUUACAGUCUGGCGCUUUGCCAGGACAUUACUCUGCUCAGGCUGCGGAGUUGAUCGCACUGACCGAAGCCUGUAAAUUGGCUGAAGGGAAGUCUGCUACUAUCUACACAGACUCCAGAUAGGCUUUUGGCGUCACACAUGACUUUGGUGCUCUGUGGAAACACAGAAAGUUUUUGAAAUCUGAUGGCAAACCUAUCUUGCAUCAUGAUAAGGUUGCUGAUCUGCUCGACGCAAUUCUGUUACCAGCUGCAAUUGCUGUAUGUAAGUGCCCCGCACACACUGGGGGCACUGAUCCCAUCUCUGCUGGAAACACACGUGCUGAUGCUGCUGCGAAGGCAGCUGCUCGACAUUCCCUUCCCUUUGUUCCCUGCCUCUUAUCCUCCACCUCUACCCAACCUCCCUCUCCUCCCUCUGCUCUCCCUGAUCUUCAGACAUUCUCUACCCCACAGGAACGCAAGCUCUGGCUGACGAAUGGCGCCACCAGUAGCCAUGGCGUUUGGUAUGGGCCCGACGGCAAACCUUGCCUACCUAAACACUUUUUCCCCCAUUUCGCGAAGUUGACACAUGGAUUAGACCAUGUAUCAAAGGGGGGAAUGUUAGAUGCUCUUACCACCCCCCUUUGGUACACUAAGGGAUUUUCAAUCUAUGCGCAAAAAUACUGUGAAGCAUGUAUGACAUGCGCCCAACACAACCCAGGUAAGACGACUGCCAAACCACUGGCAGCUCACCCACCACCGGAACAGGCGUUUGACCAUUUAAUGCUGGACUUCAUCGAACUAACGCCGGCAGGAGGUGAAAGCGGCUCUGCCCAAACAGGCGACAGAACCACUGCACAUCAUUCAACCAGGAGACUGGGUGAUCAUUAAGGAGCUUCGCAGGAAGCACUGGAACUCAAAGCGGUGGCAAGGUCCCUUCCAGGUCCUUCUGACGACCAACACGGCUGUGAAGAUCGCAGAAAGAGCGACUUGGAUCCACUCCAGCCACUGCAGGAAGGUCCCGGAUCCGACAGACGACCCUCCAUCUCCAUCUACACCACACAAGAAAACCACCACUGACGAAAAGAAUUGAGAAGAACGACCCUCGCUGUGCUCACACACGCACUGAGGCGAGGCUGCGUUGACCGUUCAGCUAAAGGUGUGAGCCAAGCGCCGCCUGAAGCUGCGCCGAUGAAUCACACUAUCAGACCAUACAUCUACACACACGUUCCUGAGAAAACACACACACGAGCAGCCUUGAGUUGCCGACGCUGGACGACGUGUAGACUCUUCACAUCACGGGAGUGACAGUGACUCAGACGACAUUGGGAGGAAACCUGGCGGUGAUAACGAACCCCAAGUGUCUCUGUGAUCAGCUGAUCACAACCUGAAGAACUCCAACGAACUGGCAAUACAUCAACACACAGGUUGGAAACAAUCUAACGCUACUGUUCAACAGGACGAAGCAGAUUGUUACGAGACAUCAAUUGUAACCUCGUUGCGUUAGACAUUUUAUGUUACUCUGAUUAUUGCCUUUAUCAUAUGAUGUUUUCAUGUAACUUUGCACACUACUUUUGAAUGAGAAAAUUUCACAUAAUUCACAACACUGAGUUUAAAUAUCCUAAAGUUGACUUGGUGUUUAAUUUGCUCACAAUCACUUUAUUCACUGCUACAAAGACUUUUUAUCCUUUCAUCUACAGAUGAAAGACAACACAAGCGGAAAUAUGCAUCAUCAUUCUGGUUAAAUCCCUGGAUCUCGUAUUCAUUCUAGACGCAAAUGUACAAUUAAAGAUUCGAAAGCAUUAAAUCUAUCUUAAGAAUAUAUGAAACAGAACCCCACCGGAAACGUAUGGCUAUCAUACAUUAAUUGUAUUUAUUACAUUACGAUUGAAUGGCCGUAGACACGUUGUUAGCAGAGAAAAGAGGCGUUUGUGUUAUGUUUGGAGAGGCAUGUUGUACUUCAUCCUGAACAACACUGAUUCUAAUGGCAUUGUGGCGAAGGCGCUCCACGGCCUUCAGAAUCUCAGCUAACUCUGGUAUAGGUUUUUUUUCCCUUGGAAUUGGCUAGACGAAAUGUCUGGAAAAUGGAAAUCUGUCCUCAUGUCCACAGCUGUUUCCUUUAUAAUUGAGAUGGCUGUGAUUCUCUUGUUUGGUUUUUGCGUUAUCCCACUGGUUAAAGGUCUCAUCAUGCGUGCGACCUCAGCAACACUCUCGUAUCAAAUGACACAAUGAACUAUGUUCAAAAACCCCAACUCUAAUUCACGUAAUGACUUUGACGAUGGCUAUCUGAUCACAAAAUAUAAUCUGGUACAAAUAUGAUUAUGGACUUAUUUUCUUCACAUGCUCAUACAGAGGUUAUUCUUGUUUAACUACCCACCAAAACAGCUCCCAACCUUUUAUCCCUAAGUUACUUGCAUUUUUAUGUGAAGGUGUAUUUUUGAAUUUUGACUUAAUACACUUACUGUUUCAUUUGUAAGGGUUGUUACUACAAAAUGCAAUGUUUGAAAAAAUUUAUUAUUUUAGUGUUUGAUUAAUGUGUAAUCAAAAGGGGGGAAUGUAAUGGAAAAAUUUUGCCUUGUGCUGUUUCUUAUCCAACACACUCGUCAUGUGCUGGUUAGGUGCAAUACUGAACAUUCUUACACAAACAAAUAAUCUCUUGUGCCCUGACGUACAUCAAGUCUAAACAUCUGAUGCUCCAUUUGACUGACUAAUAAUUUCUGAUAUAUGUUUGUCUUUUUACACCCGGACUCUGGCUCCAUCCUAUCUGACUCCCCACCAGACCCAAGGCUGUUAAAGCAAAUGCAUCUUGUCUUGGAAGCUCAGUGUUCCUUCCUUUGGAUAACAAGACAUGACGAUGCAGAAGUGAGAAAGCAAACAUUCUCACUCACAGCGAGAUAAGGUGGCGCAAACAAUUCCAUUGCUGCAGAGAGACAUUCCACCAGAGCCAGAGAAAGGGGUUAAAAGGCAGAAACAACUUUAGGAUCGUGGGCUCUUUGCAUCACACCUUCGUGGUGUGUGCACUGAUCUCCCCAGCUGGUUUUUGGUUUGUUGAUGUGCACGAUCAACAUCCAUGUUUUUAUUUGCUUUCCCCAUUAUUUUUAUUUUUUUAUCCUUUCUUUAUUAUUUUAAUAAAUCGCACAAAAGGACAA